GCAACAGGGUUCCGUGGUAAUGGCCUGGUCACGCCACCUUGACAUGUGGCAGCAACUGAGGGAUCAGGGGUCACAAAUGCAGUCCUACUGGUGAGGAAGGGCCUCCAGCACUGACUUACAGGAGUGGAGGGCUCAUAGGUUCCCAUAUAGAGCAAUACUGCUGCAUCUCCUCUCCUGCUCCAGCAGAUGUGGAUCCCCAUGGUGACAGGAGAAGAACACCAGAGACACUGCAGAUGGAUGAGUUACACAUCACAAAGAGGAGGAGACAGAAUGACAGACUGCAGGCGCCAUCUGGGAGCGAGACGUGCAUUACAGGAGCUAUCCAUAUGGUCGGGGCAUCAUGACUUUGCUCAUCUCAUCUCCCGUCAACAUCUCUUCUGCUCAAGUCCUCUCUCAAAUGAUCCACAUACACGUUACUAACAGAAAGACAAAAACAUGCUUGUGUUUAUGUAUUUUUGCAGAGAUUAUACAAAUGUACACGUAACAGUCGGUAUUAGAUUAACAUUUUAAACUCAUGUCUUCAAUACUCUUCAAAUGUACAUUUCCUCAUGAAUCGGGUGCUAUAGAUUGUAUGAAGAGUCUUAAUCUGAUGAUAGUACAUUUAUUAUAAUACAGAAAAUGAUUUGCCACCUCCAUAUCAUCCCCACCCCCAGUCGUUGUUCAGUGUCGGGAGCUGGGGGCUUUUUUAAACCCAUCUGCUGUCUCGCACCUUCUAAUCUGCCCCCCCCCCCCCCCCCCCCCCCCGGAACCCAAUGGCAUCGUACUCCUCAUCCUGUCCCCAUCCUACCCACCCAUCACCCAGUGCAUAAUAUAUUCCCCCUGUAACCAAAUACUACAGCUCACAUUGUAUUAAGCCACAUUGCAUAUGCUUAUAACACACACAGUGAUGUUUACAGACCUGUCAUCUGGAAUGUACUGUAGGCUAGAUGUAAGAUAAGUGUAUCUAUGUAUAUUUAGAAAUAAACAGUGUCAAUAUUAAAUCUCUGUGUGUUUACUAAUUAUGACAAAUUCUUAUUCUACUCAAAAUCAACACUUAUUCGUCGCAAUUACUUUUUUUAUUGUCGUCUGUUUUUUUGAUCAGCUUUCUUUAUGUUUACAAAUGGAAAACAUUCUCUGUCCAGUGAUACUUUUCAAUGUGUAGCUUUGAGAGAGAGAGAGAGCGAGAGAGAGGAUGUCCUAUGUUGAAACUCAACCUUGACUGUGUACAUCAGACCUCCAAACAACUGAUGCCCUCUUCCUAUCGUGUGUGUGUGUGUGUCCACGGACCAGCCGGGAGAGGGUCCUAAUCCCUGUGAUUCCACAGAGUGAGAGGCAGAGGGUAUGAGCUGUUGAACAAGAUAAAGAGGAGAGGGGGGAUGGAGGAGAAGAGAGGAGAAGAUGAGAGAAGGAGAGCAAAGAUUAGGGGAGGAAGGUGUGAUAAGGAGAUUCUGAGUAGAUGCAGAAGCAUGGCGAAAUAAGAAAGUAGAAAGGGGACACAAGGACAGCAAGUGAAUAAGAAAAUCAGAUUGCUUGUGGGAGAUAGAGAGAGGGGAAGAGGACAAAGCUGAAGGCUGUGUGAGAUAGGCUGGCUAUCCCCCCCAUCUCCAUCUCUCCUAAUCUCACUCUGCCUCCUCCAUAUCUCUCUCCAUCUCUCCAUCUUGCCAAAUAGUCACCGCCAGUGUGGUUGUGGUUUAAUUGGCUUUCAGUAUUCAUAAUUAAAACAAUGCCUUGACGUGCAGCUCCUACAUUGUCUUCCAUUAAUUUCAGAUUGCUCUUGUCAUUUGCACAUUACCCCAUGCAAAAGCAAAUUAAAGUGUUUCGUUUUCUCCCUUCACAUUCAGCGUCAUCUUCCCCAGCUCUCUCUGAUUAGACUGCUAUUUACCAGAUCGCUAUCCCUCAAUUCUACAGCACAUAAGCAGGCGCAGAGUAGGACCCAGGGGAUGCUGGGAAUAAGGAAAACAAAGGACUCUGGGAUGUCCAGGGCAGUUAAUGACACUUUCAUGAGGAAAUCAAAAUAGCUCUUUAAAUCUGGAUGCUAUUUACCCUGGCAGCAGAUCCUGUUGACUGGUUGCUGAUGGAACAGAACAGAGCAGUCCCGGACCGUAUGGACAGACU
ensembl:lncRNA